rnacentral:rRNA from 1 species
CGAACGGGUGAGUAAUACAUCGGAACGUGUCCGCUCGUGGGGGACAACCAGGCCGAAAGGUUGGCUAAUACCGCAUGAGUUCUACGGAAGAAAGAGGGGGACCCGCAAGGGCCUCUCGCGAGCGGAGCGGCCGAUGACUGAUUAGCCGGUUGGUGAGGUAACGGCUCACCAAAGCAACGAUCAGUAGCUGGUCUGAGAGGACGACCAGCCACACUGGGACUGAGACACGGCCCAGACUCCUACGGAAGGCAGCAG